CGGAGGGCGCAAGCGUUAAUCGGAAUUACUGGGCGUAAAGGGUUCGUAGGUGGUUAUUAAGUUAUUUGUAAAAUCCCUGGGCUUAACCUGGGCAGGUCAGAUAAUACUGGUAGACUCGAGUAUGGGAGAGGGUAGUGGAAUUUCCGGUGUAGCGGUGAAAUGCGUAGAGAUCGGAAGGAACACCAGUGGCGAAGGCGGCUACCUGGCCUAAUACUGACACUGAGGAACGAAAGCGUGGGGAGCAAACAGGAUUAGAUACCCUGGUAGUCCACGCCGUAAACGAUGUCAACUAGCUGUUGGUCAUAUUGAUAUGAUUAGUGGCGCAGCAAACGCGAUAAGUUGACCGCCUGGGGAGUACGGUCGCAAGAUUA
rnacentral:rRNA from 1 species